GACGAACCGUACGAACGUUUAUUCGGAAUCACUGGGCUUAAAGGGUGCGUAGGCGGUGCUCUAAGUUCGGUGUGAAAUCUCCUGGCUCAACUGGGAGGGUGCGCCGGAAACUGGAGUGCUUGAGCGUGGGAGAGGAAAGCGGAAUUCCCGGUGUAGUGGUGAAAUGCGUAGAUAUCGGGAGGAACACCAGUGGCGAAGGCGACUACCUGGCCUGUUCUUGACGCUGAGGCGCGAAAAGCGUGGGGGAGCGAACAGG
rnacentral:rRNA from 1 species